ensembl:lncRNA
UGCCUUGGAGUGCCUCUUGCUGUCCUUCACAUCUGAUUGCAAACAAAAGCUGUUGCCUAUUGUUUCAUUUUUGCAGUCUCUUCCUCUUCCAUGAUUUUUGUGUCUGCUGCUUGUAUGAACUGCCUUAUUGUCUCCUGCUGCACCCUGUGGACAGUAAGGAUGUCCUAACAGACUGAAUAAGUCAGCUAUUCCUUUCCAUGGAGUGCUGGAGGUUCCCCUGAAUUCUAGCUGGCUUGCAGGACAAAGGCUGAAAGAGGAUGGCCACAAAGUUCUUUUUACUCUGGACCUCAAUCUUCAGUCCCUGCCUGCACAAUGUAGCUGUGUGGACAUCACUAGCAAAAUACUAAUGGUGGUAACACCUGGUGGUCCUGCUUGUCUUCCAAAGAUACAUUUCUGGAAUUCAAGAAUGUUAACCCUGUGUGUGCUCCUGUGGGGUACACAGCACCUCCUAUGGGAUCAACAAUUACUGGAGACCUAUGCAGUGAAGGAGGCUGCCUUGUGGAGUGGACCUCGCAGAUAGCUGGAACUAUAACCCAGUCCUUUGCUCCUGAGCACAUUGAUGGAGGACUCUCAGGUGGGAUGAAGAGAAGGUCGCUGACUCCACCUUAUGCUUAGAUGGGAGGAAAGAAAAGCCUGCUGUUUGUCCUGGCUUGUGAAGUUGCUUGUGGACAGCUCUGUGCUGCG